AUUUUGUAAAAAUUUUGUUCGAAAAUUUCGACGUUUGGGCACUCAAUUUAGUCAAAAGGACUAAAUUGUAAAAAGUGCAAAAGUUGAGUUCUACAAGUUAGAGGUGUCUAAUUAUUAUGAAAUUUUAAAUUGGAGGUCCUUAAAUGGUAAUUAGACCAUUGGUUAUUUAUGGACAAAAAUAGACAUGGUUAGUAAGUAAGCUAUUUAAGGGCAUUUUGGUAAAAUGCCUUAAUUAAUGAAUAAAGACAAAAUAACAUGAAAUAAAUUAUCAUCUUCUUCAAUUCUUUUCUUCAUGGCCGUAUGUAGCAAGGGAACACCAUGGCUAGGGUUUGUUCAUCUUACAAGCUUCAUGGUUAGGUACUUAAGUGUGAUCGCCGAUUCAGCAUCCAUCAACGAUCCCGAUCUCAAACGUGGUGAUAUUAGGUACAGUGAUUUUGACGAGUUGUAAUUGAGGUUGUGAGCAUCUAUCUCACUACAUCUCCAAGUGCCAAGAGGGUUUGUUUCAAAAGUUUGAAUAGAAUGGCAUGUACUUAGGAAGAUCAAAUGUGUUCCAAGUAGUAAGGACAAAAAUAUAAGUUAUGAAAACUUAAUUUUUUUAAUGUUCAAAUAUAUUAGUGAUUAGCCAAAAUCACUUUGGCACCAAAAUGUAAUAUUUGUAUAUCAAGUUUCUUGGAUCGAAUCGGAUAGAGGGUUGUUAGUAUAAAUAUGAAAUAUAGGUAUAUAUUUUU